AGUGAACGCUGGCGGUAGGCCUAACACAUGCAAGUCGAACGGCAGCACAGUAAGAGCUUGCUCUUACGGGUGGCGAGUGGCGGACGGGUGAGGCAUACAUCGGAAUCUACUUUUUCGUGGGGGAUAACGUAGGGAAACUUACGCUAAUACCGCAUACGACCUACGGGUGAAAGCAGGGGAUCUUCGGACCUUGCGCGAUUGAAUGAGCCGAUGUCGGAUUAGCUAGUUGGCGGGGUAAAGGCCCACCAAGGCAACGCUCCGUAGCUGGUCUGAGAGGAUGAUCGGCCACACUGGAACUGAGACACGGUCCAGACUCCUACGGGAGGCAGCAGUAGGGAAUAUUGGACAAUGGGCGCAAGCCUGACCCAGCCAUACCGCGUGGGUGAAGAAGGCCUUCGGAUCGUAAAGCCCUGUUGUUGGGAAAGAAAAGCAGCGGGUUAAAACCCGGCGGUCCUGACGGUACCUAAAGAGAAAGCACCGGCUAACUUCGUG
rnacentral:rRNA from 1 species